GAAUCAUUUUUCACACAAAAUAUAAAAGUUAUUUAAACUUUUAUAACAGUGCAUAAUUUUCAUAUUUGCUUACAUAGAAGCACUAUUUGAUCAAAGCACAAAUUACUUUCUGCUUACUAAGAAGCAUAUUUUCUCAAAUAUAAAAGUCCUUAAACUUUUAUAAAAUACAUUUGCUCUUUAAUUGAUAUCUGCUUAUUUAAGAAGCAUCCAUCUGUACUAAAUUCUUAUCUACUUAUUUGAGAAGCACAUUAUUGUAAAAUCAUUUGUAAAAAGAGAAAAGGUUAGAGUUAGUUUAUUUUAUGUACUUGUGAGAAAGAAGAGUAAUUCUUCGACCAAGACCAGAGUCUUAGAGAGGUCAGCAGGAAGUUGGGUCUCUAGUGUACUUAUGAGGUGAGAAAGAGGCAGUUGUUUCAAGACCGGAUCAUAGAAUAGAACUGAACUCAAAAGAAGUACAACUAAGCUUGAGGAGGGAGCGGGGAGCUUGCUGUCCAAGAUAGAUUAGUUGGGAAUAGUUGAAAGUUUGACUAUAAAACUUUGUAAAGGCUUCUUCGCCUGUUAAAGGAGUAUUUAUUACUGAUAGUAAUAGGAUCUCAAGUCCUGGAGAGGAGCUUGAGACUGGACGUAGCAGCAUACCCGUGAUGUAUAUUGUGAACCAAACAAAUCUUUGUGCAUUAUGUGAUUGAAUUUUUACUGUCUUGCA
rnacentral:lncRNA from 1 species